GUGGGGGAGGGACACAAAGUGAGCGCUGUAGCCUCACAAUAAUAAUGAAUGGAAACUCUAAAGUAGCAAGUUGGGUUACUGCGUAUAUUAAUUGAUCUGCAAGCGGAUACAACAUGUAAAGAAAACAAUGAUUUUAAUAAUUCGGGCACGCGUUUUAACUAAGGGAAAGACACAAACCGAAGAAUAUGGAGAAUAAUGAAAUAUAAAAAAGAAAAAAGCAUGUUUUAAACGCAUUUAUUUUGAAGUGGGAGAUUUUAUAACUUACAGAUAUUGAAGUGCCUUUAUGUUAUUGUUUUUAAAACAAUACAUUUGAUUUACGGUAUGCGUUGAGGAAAUUGAUUCGUCUGACGGGUUGCCUCAUUCCGAACUGGAUUCGUAGUUAAUUUAACGGAUUUAUAAAGUUCUGUUUCAGUGGAAUUCGUACAAAAACACAACGAACGGGGUCAUUUUUUAAUGGAUUUUUUUCUCUUGGCUGAACUUUGUGAAGUUUCCGAAUUGUAGAGGAAAACAAUUCAACAAGACUUCCCUUUGGGGAGUUGAUUUCUAAAACCGGACCCGAGCACAAACCGUGGAAGGAAAUCGCGUUUUGUCCUCUAAAGGGAAAAUGGGGAAUGUGGAAAGUUUGGAUGAUCAGACGGAUUUGAAACCCCACAUCAUGCCACUGAAACUCCCCAUGCCCGAACAAUGCGAGCUGGAAGAACGAUUCGCCCUGGUUUUGAAUUCCAUGAACCUGCCUCCCGACAAGGCCAGGUUACUGCGGCAGUACGACAACGAGAAGAAAUGGGACCUGAUCUGUGAUCAGGAGAGGUUUCAAGUGAAAAACCCGCCUCACACCUACAUUCAGAAGCUCAGGGGGUUCCUGGAUCCAGGAGUAACCAGAAAGAAAUUCAGGAGGAGGGUCCUGGAGUCCACUAAGGUGCUGAGAGAGCUGGAGAUCUCCCUGCGGACCAAUUACAUUGGGUGGGUGCGAGAGUUCUUGAACGAUGAGAACAGAGGUCUGGACGUGCUGGUGGAGUACCUGUCAUUCGCUCAGUGUGCCGUCAUGUUUGAUUUUGAGGCUCUGGAGAAUGGGGAGGAUGGCGUGCUAGACAAGUCGAAAUCCUGGAGCAGGUCCAUUGAGGAUCUGCACCAGAACUGUGCCCAGCCUUUCAGCAACAGCCUCGCUCGCUCUGCCCGCCAGUCUGUCCUACGCUACAGCACGCUGUCAAACAGGAAAACCAUAAAGAACUCUCGUCUGGUGAGCCAGAAGGAUGACGUGCACGUCUGCAUCAUGUGCCUGCGAGCCGUCAUGAACUACCAGUACGGCUUCAACCUGGUCAUGUCCCACCCUCACGCCGUCAAUGAAAUUGCACUGAGUUUGAAUAACAAGAAUUCCAGAACGAAAGCUUUGGUUCUGGAGCUCCUGGCCGCGGUCUGCCUAGUGAGAGGAGGCCAUGAAAUUAUCCUGUCCGCAUUCGACAACUUUAAAGAGGUUUGUAAGGAGAAGCAUCGCUUUGAGAAGCUGAUGGAAUAUUUCAGAAAUGAAGACGGGAACAUCGAUUUCAUGGUGGCCUGCAUGCAGUUCAUUAACAUCAUGGUGCACUCCGUGGAGGAUAUGAAUUUCCGAGUCCACCUGCAGUACGAGUUCACCAAACUGGAGCUGGACGACUUCCUGGAGAGAUCGAAGCACACAGAGAGUGACAAGCUGGCCGUUCAGAUCCAGGCUUACCUGGACAAUGUGUUCGACGUUGGGGGGCUGCUGGAGGACGCAGAGACCAAGAACGCGGCUCUGGAGAAGGUGGAGGAGCUGGAAGAGCACCUGUCCCACUUAACAGAGAAGCUGCUGGACCUGGAGAAUGAUAACAUGAUGAGGGUGGCUGAUCUGGAGACCCAGCUUCUACACAGAGACAAAGAGCUGGAGCUGGUGAAGGAAACGUACGAGUCGACGAACUCGCAGGUGCACACGCUGCGCCGCAUGAUCAAGGAGAAGGAAGACGCCUACCAGCGGCAAUCCAACAUCGAGAAGAGACUGCAGGAGCUGGAGCAGCAGGGAACCAUCCGCCUUCACAAGCAGGCCGACGGGGACAUUGACAUCGUGCCUCUGGGAGGAGGAGGAGGAGGAGGGGGUACAGGGGGAGGCUCGGGAGGGCCUGGAACUGUGGAGACGCCCUUCUCAGAACCUGCACCCCCACCCCCGCCCCCACCCCCACCCCUGCCUACAGCAGGGGAGAGUCUUCCAGCGCCAGCCCCGCCCCCUCCUCCGCCCCCUCCCGCAGCCCCGCCCCUUCCUGGAAUGUCGCCUUCUGUCAUCCUGAGCGUCGGCCUAUCGGCGAUCCGGAUAAAGAAGCCCAUCAAGACCAAGUUCCGUCUGCCGGUGUUCAACUGGACAGCUCUGAAACCCAACCAGAUCAACGGCACGGUCUUCAACGAGAUCGAUGACGAGAGGAUAAUGCAGGAGCUGGAUUUGGAUAAGUUUGAGGAGCUGUUCAAGACCAAGGCUCAGGGGCCCAUCGUGGACCUGGUGUGUCCCAAGAGCAAGGUGGCGCAGAAGGCCGUCAACAAGGUGACCCUGCUGGAGGCCAACCGGUCGAAGAACCUGGCCAUCACGCUGCGCAAAGCCAACAAGAGCACGGAGGAGAUCUGCAAAGCCAUCCACACGUUCGAUCUGAAGGUGCUGCCCAUCGACUUCGUGGAGUGCCUGACGCGCUUCCUGCCCACGGAGGCGGAGGGGAAGCUGCUGCGGCAGUACGAGCGCGAGCGCAGGCCCCUGGAGGACCUGGCCGACGAGGAUCGCUUCAUGCUGCACUUCAGCAAGAUCGAGAGGCUCACGCAGAGGAUGAGCAUCAUCACCUUCAUCGGCAACUUCAACGACAACGUGCAGCUGCUCACGCCGCAACUGAAUGCCAUAAUCGCAGCAUCAGCUUCCGUUAAGUCCUCGCAGAAAUUAAAGAAAAUGUUAGAGAUUAUCCUGGCCUUGGGAAACUACAUGAACAGCAGCAAGAGAGGAGCGGUCUACGGGUUUAAAUUACAGAGCUUGGACCUGCUCCUGGACACCAAGUCUACAGACAGGAAGCUCACCCUAUUGCACUACAUAGCCCUCGUUGUGAAGGAGAAGUACCCCGAGAUCUCAGCCUUCUGGAACGAGUUGCACUUCAUCGACAAAGCGGCGGCAGUAUCCCUGGAGAACGUGCUGCUGGAUGUGAAGGAGCUGGGCAGGGGGAUGGAUCUGAUCCGACGGGAGUGCAGCCUCCACGAUCACGGGGUCCUCAAGAACUUCGUCAGCGCCAACGAGGGCAGACUGGAGAAACUGCAGAAGGACGCCAAGACUGCCGAGGAGGCCUUCAAUACCGUGGUUCGUUACUAUGGGGAGAAUCAGAAGACGACCCCCCCCUCGGUAUUCUUCCCUGUGUUUGUCCGCUUUGUGAAGGCCUACAAGGAAGCGGAACAGGAAAACGAGCAGAGGAAGAAGCAGGAGGAAGCCAUGAGGGAGAAGAUGCUGGCACAGGAGGCAAAGCAGCAGGAUCCCAAGUCUCAGGUCCAGAAGAACAGCAAGAGGCAGCACCAGCAGCACGACCUGAUCACUGAGCUGAGGAGGCGACAGGCCAAGGAGCACAGGCCGGUGUACGAGGGGAAGGACGGCACCAUCGAGGAUAUUAUAACAGUGCUGAAGAGUGUCCCGUUCACGGCCCGAACAGCCAAGCGGGGCUCACGGUUCUUCUGCGAUACGGUCCUCUGUGAGGAGUCCAACUGUUAGUGCCCUCUCCGCCCAGCAGCACCCUGCCAAGCUGAAAGAAAGAGGCACCUCAUUAAGUUAUCAAAUUCUAAACAGCGGAUCUCAGGAACCAGCCCUUUCUACGAGCUGAUGCGGUGAUCCGGAGCGGCUGGAGGAGAGUGUGAGGCGGGGGGCUGGAGUUCCCUCGUCUUGGAGUUCACCCCUCCGCAGCAGACUGGAAUCGGAUGGGAUUUUUCAGAAGGAAUUUGGAAAAUGCCCCCCCCCCCCCCUCCUCCUACCCCCGCCUCCCCAGGUGACCUUGAAGGAACGAGGCUGCUUCCUCCUAAAACCAAAUAAGACUUUCAUUGUUUUUCUUAAAAAAAAAAAAAAAGACAUUCCUCACAAUAUUACAGUAUUACUGCUAAGGUGUUUUAGCCAUAAUUUGUAAAAAAUUUUAAAACCUAUUUUAAUAUUAUUUUUUUACUUUUUAUCUUUAAAUAUCCAAUACUGUAAAUUGACUGUGUUUAGCCUCUCCGUGUUUUGCCCUUGCCCGCUUAUACUGCACAUGGAGAAAGCGAUGUGGUUGCUUCUCUGAUGUAUUUAAGGUGUUCACGCUAGGCCUAAGCUUCUAGCGUUCAAAUGCAAAAUACCCUCGUUUCAGUUCCGGAACGCACAGUCCUGAAGAUUCCGAAUUCCCACAGUGAUCUCGUCCAGCUCCAGCAAACAUCCUCCCAAGCCCAGCAGCACUGCACAGCUUUUCAAUUCAUACCCACGCCUAGCUGGUACCUGCACUCUACAGUAAGAGCAGACUGGAUUGAGAGCCUUUUAUUACAGAAAUCUUCAGUGCAGUUAUUAAGAAUAGGACCUGAACACAGGGUCCCAGAAUGUGGGAGUGCUUGAAGCCUGUUAAAUACACCAGUUGAAGAAUGAAAUAUCGUCUGCAGCCCUGCGAUUUGUAUUCUUCGUUUUGUUGUCUUCUUGUUUUCAAUUUAAAGGAUUUGCAUACAGAGAUUAGGCUCUGCCCUGUGCCAGUUUAAUCACAUGUUUGCAGCUAAACCUGCAUUUUUUUCCUCUAAACACUAAGUGGCUAAACUUUUCAGUAUUAUAAAAUUGUCAGUAUAAUUUUAAAAAGGCAUUUGAUUUCUCGAAGGCCACACCCAAAGGUUUUCUGUGCUUUGAGGAGCGAGUUCUCUUACUCGUACGGUCCUGCAUUCCCGAAAGGGUUUAUCUAAGAACACAGCACCUCUCCUUGCGUUAGAAUUGAACCCCAUGGCAGCCCCUCUCCUGCUGCUAACGCCUGCUGUUUUGAGGGUAACAGAAAAAGCAAUGGAAGCAGUGUAAUGUAUCAUAAACACUGCAUUUCACGAGAGAAAGUGAGGGAGAGAUGAUUUCAAAUAGCUACUCAAACCUUAAGCUUUUUUUUUUAAAAGCAAUGCACACAGCUGUAGGUCUCUUGAAACUAGUAAUACCAGAGAUUUAAAUAGCUAGCCAGUGCAUUGGAAAUUGCUUACCAGGUAACUGUUGUGCAAAAAAAGUCCAGUGACAUGAACUAGCCACUGUGUCUGUGUCUAACUGUCGUUAUCAGAAUAAAGAAAAUGAUGCAGCUGUUUUUAGAUUUUGGUUGUGGGACAGUUCAGACCGGUUGGCUUUGACCAUUCGCUAACGGCUGCUGUGUCCUGGCUAAGACAAUCUGGGAGGUAUUACUAACUUCAGUCUGUUUGCAGCUCACAUUAUAUCCAGCCUGCUACUCAAAGCGAGAUCCCAGAGCUCGUUUCUCAUUUCAAACAGAGCCUCCUGUCUGUCGGGCCGUUGCCCUGUUUAUAUCGUUCUUGUCUGUUGUUUUAUGUUUAGCUACGAAAGGGUCUCGGUGCAAAAAAUAUACACUAUCCAGUUAAUAUUGUAUGAUAAAGAUAUAUCCAUCCCCCUCUAUAUGUGUUGUAAAUGUAUAAAGUAAAGCCUUUUCAUUCCUGUGUAACACUUUAUUUUGUAAAACUAUGCCAAACCAGAUUGAGGCUUCUAGCCCCCAGAUCUUAUAUUCUGUACAUAUUCUUAAUAAAUUACCAAAAAAAACAAACAACAACUUGA